rnacentral:rRNA from 1 species
UACGUAGGGGGCAAGCGUUGUCCGGAUUUAUUGGGCGUAAAGAGCGUGUAGGCGGCCAGGUAGGUCUGCUGUGAAAACUCGAGGCUCAACCUCGAGACGCCGAUGGAAACCGUCUGGCUAGAGUCCGGAAGAGGAGAGUGGAAUUCCUGGUGUAGCGGUGAAAUGCGCAGAUAUCAGGAAGAACACCCGUGGCUAAGGCGGCUCUCUAGUACGGUACUGACGCUGAGACGCGAAAGCGUGGGGAGCGAACAGG